rnacentral:rRNA from 1 species
GUUUAGGAAUUCGCGGCCUAUCAGCUUGUUGGUGGGGUAAUGGCCUACCAAGGCGACGACGGGUAGCCGGCCUGAGAGGGUGACCGGCCACACUGGGACUGAGACACGGCCCAGACUCCUACGGGAGGCUGCAGUGGGGAAUAUUGCACAAUGGGCGCAAGCCUGAUGCAGCGACGCCGCGUGAGGGAUGACGGCCUUCGGGUUGUAAACCUCUUUCAGCAGGGAAGAAGCGGAAGUGACGGUACCUGCAGAAGAAGCGCCGGCUAACUACGUGCCAGCAGCCGCGGUAAUACGUAGGGCGCAAGCGUUGUCCGGAAUUAUUGGGCGUAAAGAGCUCGUAGGCGGUUUGUCGCGUCUGCUGUGAAAGCCCGGGGCUCAACCCCGGGUCUGCAGUGGGUACGGGCAGACUGGAGUGCAGUAGGGGAGACUGGAAUUCCUGGUGUAGCGGUGAAAUGCGCAGAUAUCAGGAGGAACACCGAUGGCGAAGGCAGGUCUCUGGGCUGUAACUGACGCUGAGGAGCGAAAGCAUGGGGAGCGAACAGGAUUAGAUACCCUGGUAGUCCAUGCCGUAAACGUUGGGCACUAGGUGUGGGGGACAUUCCACGUUUUCCGCCCCGUAGCUAACGCAUUAAGUGCCCCGCCUGGGGAGUACGGAAU